rnacentral:rRNA from 1 species
UGCGGGGGGGGGCAAGCGUUGUUCGGAAUUACUGGGCGUAAAGAGCCAGUAGGCGGCCAACUAAGUCCGACGUGAAAUCCCAAGGCUUAACCUUGGAACUGCGUCGGAUACUGGAUGGCUUGAAUUCGGGAGAGGGAUGCAGAAUUCCAGGUGUAGCGGUGAAAUGCGUAGAUAUCUGGAGGAAUACCGGUGGCGAAGGCGGCAUCCUGGACCGACAUUGACGCUGAACGGCGAAAGCUAGGGGAGCAAACGGG